GGCCAAAGAAGAACAAAGGAAGAAAAGAAAGAACAAGAACCCUAGGGUGAAAUUCAAGAGAAAAAUUGGUGGAUUCCAAGUAAUCAAGCAAUUAAAGGUAAAAUUUUUUGAUUUUGACUUGUGAUCUACCUUUCCCAUGCAUUAUUUUGCAUUUUCCAUGGUUGAAUCACAAGAUAUCAUGAAGGAUUCAUGGCUGACUAAAUUUAGAGAGAGAAGAUUUGAUGAUUGAUUUGGUUAGAUUUUAAGAUAUUUUAGUGUUUUUAGUUAGCUAGUGAUGUGUAGCAUGAAAAUCAAGCAAGAAAAAUUCAUUUUCUCCCAUCACCCAUCAUUGGCCGAAUUUUCCAUGUAGAGUGUGGAUGAUGAUUUUGAUUUUUUUUCAAGUGAAUUGGUUAGGAAAUGAUGAUUUAUGGUGUGAGAAUCAAGUAGGAAAAAUCAUAGUAUUGAUGCACCCACCAUGGCCGAAUUUUCCAAGAGAAAAUGUAAAGAUGAUUUUGCUAGAUUUUAUGCUAUUUGACUUGUGUUUGAUGAUUUUGAGUAUUGGGAGAAAAAUGGAAUUAUUUGGAGUUAAAUUGGACAUAUUGGCCAAUUAAUCAAGAGAUAGAUUGAAUUAGGUCAAUACCGUUUCAUUUAGGUACAUAACUGAAUUUAUAUUGAACACCGUAUUUAGAUAGUUACCCGAGUAUUUCACAUCCCAUUUCAUGCAUUAGUAUAGAGCUUGAAUUGGUUUUAUAACAAUUUAGCACAAAUGUAGUAAAUUGCUUAUUGUGCAUUAUGUUUAGGUGGUGAGCAUUCUGACAAAAGUAAAGAGAUAGUACUCGAGGAUCAAGAAUCGGAGUACUUGGAAUUCGACUCCUAAAACAGUGAGUAACCUUACUAUUGUCUUAAUUAUCUAAAGUGGUUUUUAUCCGAUUUUUGCGAUUUUAUGAAAAAUAAGUUUAAAUGGCAAAUCUUUAUGUUUUAUAAGCAAAAAUGUGAUUAAAUGAAAUGAUUUUAUAAACUUGUCUUGAAAUUGAAUAAUGGCUUUGAAAAUAGAGUAAUUGGAGACCAUUUGAUGUAUUGUGAAUUUAUGGUUCUAAUUGAUUGGCUUAUUGAAAAUAUUGACAUGAAUGGCUGAAUUGGUAUUUGUGUUGAAAUGUAUAAAUUGUUGUUUGCCUUGAUAGGUUGGAUAAUGAUAAAAAUAGCCAUGUCAUGCUGAUGAAUUUUUAUUAUAUGGUGGGUUUAGCUUGUUGCAGACAGAACCAGCCUAUUAGAGGGGCACGAAACCUGGUCAUAUAUAUGUACCUCGAUUGGAGAGGUGUGUAGGGUAACUCCUGAGGUCAAGCUUUAGAGUUCACUUCACGCCAAACCACCACGUGAGGGUGAACUCAACCAACGCCAAGGAACGACAUUGUUUUCAAACUAAAAACAUGAUUUAUGCGUACCUAAAUUUUUAACAGCCUUGGCGAACUCGGUUGGGAUAGCCUUCGAUCAAGGCAUUCCUGAUAACUGAGUAUGAAAAUGAUUUUGGCAUGAGCCAAAGCUUUUAAGAAAUUCAUAAGCCAUGUUGAUUACUCGAUUUAUAUGAAUCGAUUCUAUUUGGUUGAAAUGAGUUGAAAGGUAAUAAAUUACAGUAUAUUAAAUUAUUUUAUCUGUCUCCAUUUACUCAGCUUUACAUAUUUUAGAUGGUAUUUGUUUACUCACUGAGAUUAUAUAAUCUCACCACCCUCCUUUCCACCCCUUUCAGGCUCAGGAUAGUCGGUAGAUAGCUCACUUUGUUGAGGGUUAUAAUUGGACUUGCAUCCUCAAAAACUGUAGGUUUACUGCUUUUAAUACUUUUGGUCGUUCGUGGGCCCACUUGUUACUGUAAAUUAAAUUAAAUACUCUGUCUUACUGUAUUACAAUAUAUAUGAAUUUAUUUUGCUUUUACGCUAUAAAAAU
rnacentral:lncRNA from 1 species